rnacentral:rRNA from 1 species
UACGUAGGGCGCAAGCGUUAUCCGGAAUUAUUGGGCGUAAAGAGCUCGUAGGCGGUUUGUCGCGUCUGCCGUGAAAGUCCGGGGCUCAACUCCGGAUCUGCGGUGGGUACGGGCAGACUAGAGUGAUGUAGGGGAGACUGGAAUUCCUGGUGUAGCGGUGAAAUGCGCAGAUAUCAGGAGGAACACCAAUGGCGAAGGCAGCACUCUGGGCCGGUACUGACGCUGAGGAGCGAAAGCGUGGGGAGCAAACAGG